UAUUAGACUUUAUACAGGUUACGACAAAAGCCCGUUUUGGCCGAUUUCCAACAAAAAAAUGAAUGAAAAUUUUGACAGACAAAUUGGAAUGGUUUGUUUACAAUUCGACUGGUUUGUUUACAAUUUGUCUGGAUUGCAAUCGUGCUAUGCUGUGAUAAGGAAGAAAUCGAGAAAGUGAGCAUCCAGUAAAAAUAUGCAUUUGUUGUGGUGAUAAGAUCCAACAUGUAGGAGUUUAACAUUGUGUCAGCAUUAUUAGCAUUACGGACCAGGAGAUAAAUGAGCGAGAGAAGUACCCAGCUAGAAAGCAUAUGUUGAAGGGAAAAUGUAUGCAGUUGCUAUAACUUGUGCGAUUUCUCAUAUACGUGUGCAGUGCAGACACAGUUUCAUCUUACGAGUUUCCUUUCCGACCAACAACAGUUCAGUAACUAUGAAGAGGGAGGGGGGCAAAGUGCCGUAUAUUCCCAAAGCAAUCACUGUUCAUAAUAGAUGAGGAAUCAUACCAUGCCUGGCUGUUGCACAGUAUCCGUUGGGAUGAGGUUUAGCUCCCUUCAGAUUCCACCCGACUGCAACAUAAUGUCCUGAUGACCGAGAUGGCAUGUUGCUACGGCUAGAUGAGUAUCUUUGCACUAAUGAACGAAUGACCCGUUGAAUGUUGCUCCAUUCUAGGGAACGAAUUCUUUUACCACCCGGAUGUAACUGUAGCAUCAGCAGAGGGAGAAGCUGCUCAUAUAUACCGUCAUAUAGAGAUAAACCGUUAGCUGGCCACCACAUGUAUUGGCGUAUCCCUGUGGUUCCAACAGUGCCGCGUGAUGGGUCCAGCACACAAAUAACCAACAAUUGCAACCAUAGCCCGACUCCAGUGUGUGAUCUGGUUGCAUAAUCAGUUCUGACACGCAGACUGGAUGCACGUGAUCAUACGUCAUCUACUAUCUCAGCUCACUAAUGAACAAUGAAAGACAGUCAAUCUCAUAUCGAAGCAAACCACUAAUAAUCAAAUCUUGAGAAGCAUAUCGACGAUCGUGGGGAUCAUUAAACUAAACAUACGACACCGAAUUUCAUAUGGGAGAAGAGUAGAACUCGAUUGCCUCAAGAGCCGCCUAACGGUUGAACGCUUUCAACCCUGUCAGUUCAUACCAGACUAACUGGGUACCAAACAAUGCUCGCGUAUUCUAAAGUAGGAUAGAAUAAGCUACAGUAAAGGGUUUUGAAGCAGUGGGGUAACGCACAUCAUGCAUCAUCAAUGAUUCCGACCCGCAAAUGGAGCGGGUGUGCUAGAUCGGAGUCGGAAACAAAUCCGACCCGAGGUAGUAAGGACUUCAAGUUAACUCGAAUGAUUAGUAGUUGUAAGAAAGCAUAAGCGAUUCCAUCUACUAACCCAGUAACCCAUUGGUGCAGCGAGUUUGGGUCAGGUCAAAGUAGGUUCAAUACCCGACCCGUACUCGCUGCACCAAUGGGCCGGAAUCGCUUAUGCUUUCUCGUAUCUACCGAAAUCGUUGCACAUACUGCAUCUAUUUGUACGUUUCAGGUUGACCCGCACGACUCCGGGAUGCUUCGGAUUGCUCCGACCCGGUGAGUUCCAGUUGCCCCGCCUUUCACUAGUGUGUGUAUAGAAGAACGUGCGUGAGUUGUCGGAUCGCUGACCAAGGAGUAGGAGAAGGAUGUAAAAGUGAGUUAAUGUUUAACGAGCCCGUUGUAACAAUAAUAAUUAGAAAAUAAACUUCAAAUAUAUUUGUGUUUUUUGGUAGCAUUUAUCAAA